GCCGGGCAUGGUGGCUCAUGCCUGUAAUCCAAACACUUUGGGAGGCUGAGGUGGGUGGAUCACCUGAGGUCAGGAGUUCAAGACCAGCCUGACCAACAUGGUGAAACCCCAUUUCUA
ensembl:misc_RNA Metazoa_SRP Metazoan signal recognition particle RNA